UACAGAGGUCCCAAGCGUUGUUCGGAUUCAUUGGGCGUAAAGGGUGCGUAGGUGGCGCUGUAAGUCGGGUGUGAAAUUUCGGAGCUUAACUCCGAAACUGCAUUCGAUACUGCGGUGCUCGAGGACUGGAGAGGAGACUGGAAUUCAUGGUGUAGCAGUGAAAUGCGUAGAGAUCAUGAGGAAGACCAGUGGCGAAGGCGG
rnacentral:rRNA from 1 species